AUGAAUUUUGGUAUAAAAUUAAUUAUUUUAAUAAUGAUUUAUAUUUUUGGUAGUAAUUAAUAUUAAAUAUUUAAGAAAUUAAGAUUUAGUAAUAUUUUUAUUCAAUAACAAAUUUUGUGCCAGCAGUUGCGGUUAAACAAAAGUUGAUUUAAAUUUUAUUAGUAAUUAAUAAAUAAUUUAAAUUUAUAAUUUAAAUUUUAAAUUAUUAGGUGAAAUUUUAAUUUAUAAAAAAGUUAUUUUAAUAUUAUGAUUUAAUAAAUUUUAUUAAAAACUAGGAUUAGAUACCCUAUUAUGAAAAUUUUAAAUUUUAAUACUAAAAUAGUAAAUAAUUAUUUAUUGAAACUUAAGUAAUUUGGCGGUAUUUUAGUUCAUUUAGAGGAAUCUGUUUAAUAAUUGAUAGUCCACGAAUAAAUUUACUUAAUUUAUAAUUUUGUAUAUCGUUGUUAAAAAAAUAUUUUUAAAAAAUUAAUAAUAUUUAAAAAUUUAUAUAAUAAAUUAAAUCAGAUCAAGAUGCAGAUUAUAAUUAAGAAUAUAAUGGAUUACAAUAAAUUUAUUUAUAUGAAUAUUAAUUUGUAAAAAUUAAUUGAAAGUGGAUUUAAAUGUAAUUUUAUUUAAUUUAAUAAAAUGAUUAAAAAUUAAAAUAUGUACAUAUUGCCCGUCGCUUUCAUAUAAAAAGAAAUUGAAAUAAGUCGUAACAAAGUAGAGAUACUGGAAAGUGUUUCUAGAAAGA
rnacentral:ncRNA from 1 species